GAGUGUGUCGGGUCCCAGCGAAGGGAUGCGGUGGAAGAUGGACUGGGGCUGCUGGUCAUCGUCCUCCGACCACAGGGCCCCCGGGGAGGAGGGAGGCCGGCGGGGCCGGGGAGCUGGCUCGGGCCCCUGGCCUCUGGAACCCGGCGGGGGGCUGGGGGGGACUUGUGUGUUUAGGCUUCAAGAGUGAGUAUUCGAGAGACAGAGGCCACAGCCGAUAUCUGUGACCUGUGACCUAGCCUUGGAGUCACCCUUGGAGGAGGGGAGCCAAGAAAGAGCUGCUGCGCCCACCUGCCCCCCUCGCCCCCGCCCAGCCCUCGGAAAGGGUCCUGCCAGCCUCCCAGUGACCUGUGUCCCAGGCUGCGCCUGCGUGAGGUCCCGGGGCCACAGCAAACUGGGCGUUCGGACAGCAGGAAAGUGUCCUCAGCUGCGCGUAGGUGAUAGACACACACCAGCAAAGAGUCUGGAAGCCCACCAACUCCCUCAGCCAGUUUAUUCACGGACGGUAAACAGCGCACGUAAAAGCGUACAAUUGGAUGGGCUGAGAUGCGUAGACACCCAGGGAACCUUCGCCACAUUCAGGACAGUGAACAUCUCCAUCAGCCAAAGUCUCUGCAUUUUAUGUUUAUGGUAACGAUGUGGCCAGGACCAAGCAGGGGCCUCCUUCCUACUGCAUAACUGCUGCCCCGUUGCUGGGUUGGGCCUGCCUGUCCGUCGGUCCGUCUCAGGCCCUUACGAACCUCCUGCUAAAAAUGCCUCUGUGGGGCUCCCGUGGUGGCGCAGUGGUUAAGAAUCCGCCUGCCAACGCAGGGGACAGGGGUUCGAGCCCUGGGCUGGGAAGAUCCCACGUGCCGCAGAGCAACUAAGCCCGUGCGCCACAACUACUGAGCCUGCGCUCUAGAGCCCGCGGGCCACAGCCACUGAGCCCGCACGCCUAGAGCCCGUGCGCUUCAACGGGAGAAGCCACCGCGAUGAGCAGCCCCCGCUCACCGCAACUAGAGAAAGCCCGCGCGCAGCAACGAAGACCCCACGCAGCCGAAAAUAAAGAAAUAAAUAAAUUUAUAAAAAAUAACAUAAAAAGGCCUGUGUGCCCGACCCUGUGCACAGCUGCACGAUCACUGGAAGAUAACUUCCUGGCAGUGCUACCCGAGCCAAGGGUUUGCUCCUCAUCAGAUCCGGCAACGUUCCCACCCGGGGAAGUGGCUGCACCCCCGACGCCCCACACCCCAGGCGAGGCCCCUCCUGCCCCCGUGUCUGCAGGGCGUCAGGAGGAGCCGCCUCCUCCGGGUGUCCCUGGUCUCCGCCGCGCCUUCAUUUCCUGCCACCCGAUGUCUGACACCAAAUGCCGCGGGGUCUCCUGAGCUCUGCUCCAGGCCAGCCGGUCCCUUUUCUCGGCAAUAAGAGUGAUUUUUCAAGCUCGCGACCCCUGAACUUUGAGGUGGCGCCCACACGCUGGGCUCCAGAAGGGCCCCCCCAGCCCCCUGUGUGGGGCCUGCCUCUGCAUCGCAUGCACCUGAACCCAAGGGUUCUGUGCCUGGUGGGACUCUUCAUAGGGAAGA